CUCGGCACAUCUCGUAACGUCACUACUGGCUGCUGUUGACCUUGUUUUUGGAGUAAAACACGGUGGAAGCUGAAUUAGUGAGGAUGACUCCUGCUCCUGUCAUCUCUAAGCUCCUCACACAUCUUUACCUGCACAUGAGGAAAAUCACUCCUGUAGAAUGCAGGUAUGUUUGUCAUUAUUAUAAAAAGAUGUUGCCUGGUGACCUGUCAGAAACCCAUUAUACAGAGUCAGCCAAAAUAAUGUUUACACACAUCAGGAAAAGAAAAACUUGCAUAAAUAUUUCAAUACCAAAUUUAUUCAGACAUCACGAGAUUAAUAAAAGUUAUCUUUGGCCUCUACAAUUACAAGAGGUGCUCAAAGUGGUGGCCACUGGCUUCCAGACAUUUCUGUUGUGUUGUAGACGUCACUUGUUGAUGCUCCAUUCAUGAGGGUAGCGCCAUCUGUUGGGAAAACAUCGUACAACAAGACACAGAGUUAUCGUGAUUUGAUCAAACUUAGAAAGAGGUAUCUAUAUGUAUAGAAGUACUUAUACAAAUGAAAUAUUUAUAAAAGUUUUUCUUUUCCUGAUGUGUGUACAUUAUUUUGGCUGACUGAACUUAAUGAGAACAAAACUGUCAUUUAAUUGUUGCUUUGAAAGCUGCUUUAGUGAAAACCAGCUGGUGUUCUGCUUUGAAACAAACUGCUGUUGAGGUCUGUGUUUUUAGGUUUAACCCCACAGUUUCUGAAUGAACUGAUAGUUUGUUUUUUUCCUGAUCAAUGUGGACGUUAUAAUUGAUGGUAACAUUUACUGAUCAUAUAAUCAGCAUGACAAUAUAACAGUAUAACAUUCUGACCACCUGACUAAUACUGUGUUGGUCCCUUUAUGCAGCUAAAACUCCUCUGAUCCAGUGGUUCAUCAGAACCUCUGGGGAUGUCCUGUGGAUUCUGUGGAUCCUGUGGGUUGCAGGGUGGGUCCUACCUAGACCAGGCUGAUCCUGGACCAUCCCACAGAUGCUCAAUCAGAUCUGGAUGUGGGGAGUGUGGAACCCAGAUGUUCAGAGGGAGAUGAUGCCACAUCUGGUCCAGCUGAUGGAAGGUCUUGAAGUUCUCUGACUGGCCUGGACUGAAGAUGGUCGUCUCACUGGAUUUAAGGUUCAGAUGCUCAGUAACAAACUCCACCAAUGUGCCAACAGGUAAACUUUCGGUUUAUUAAAUGUUGCUAUGAAGGUAUCGCUG